rnacentral:rRNA from 1 species
CCUACGGGGGGCAGCAGUGGGGAAUAUUGGACAAUGGGCGAAAGCCUGAUCCAGCCAUGCCGCGUGUGUGAAGAAGGCCUUCGGGUUGUAAAGCACUUUCAGUGGGGAAGAAAGCCUUGGGGCUAAUACCCUCGAGGAAGGACAUCACCCACAGAAGAAGCACCGGCUAACUCCGUGCCAGCAGCCGCGGUAAUACGGAGGGUGCGAGCGUUAAUCGGAAUUACUGGGCGUAAAGCGCGCGUAGGCGGUCUGAUAAGCCGGUUGUGAAAGCCCCGGGCUCAACCUGGGAACGGCAUCCGGAACUGUCAGGCUAGAGUGUAGGAGAGGAAGGUAGAAUUCCAGGUGUAGCGGUGAAAUGCGUAGAGAUCGGGAGGAAUACCAGUGGCGAAGGCGGCCUUCUGGACUGACACUGACGCUGAGGUGCGAAAGCGUGGGUAGCAAACAGGAUUAGAUACCCGGGUAGUC